CCUACGGGAGGCAGCAGUAGGGAAUAUUGGUCAAUGGGUGCAAGCCUGAACCAGCCAUGCCGCGUGCAGGAAGACGGCCUUCUGGGCUGUAAACUGCUUUUGCCAGGGGAUAAAAGACCGAUGCGUCGGGAAUUGAAGGUACCUGGUAAAUAAGCCACGGCUAACUACGUGCCAGCAGCCGCGGUAAU
rnacentral:rRNA from 2 species